GUGCGAGAUGGUUUGUGCUUGAAGAUGGGGUGUUGUCGUAUUACAAAGUUCAUGGACCGGAUAAAAUUGCUAUGAGUCCAGGGAAAGAAAAGGGGUUGAAGGUUAUUGGGGAUGAGUCUUGGAGGUAUAUGAGGAAGGCUAAUGUGAACAAUAAUCGACUGAAUGGAUCUAACAAGUGGAAGCCGUUUGGGGAAAUACAUUUGAAGGUCUCGUCAGUUCGGGCAAGCAAGUCAGAUGACAAAAGGCUUUCUAUAUUCACGGGA
rnacentral:misc_RNA from 1 species